CCAUCAUCCAACGGCCCAGAUUAAUCAACUAAUUUUUGAUAUACCAAACACCCCCCCACUCGUCUCUUCAGAGACCAAAACACACACCACCCCUACCACCGUGCUCUGCCCACCGGAAAUCGCCUCACAGCGGUUCCGGUGGUCCAAACAGCCCCAAAAUUACACCACAGCCUCGCCACAAUGUCCUUUUUCCAAAUCCCGAAUCAGUUUUCUUCGAAUUAGUACCAUACGCUUCGAAUCUUCAAUCGAAGAUCAGUCCCAAAACCCUAGUUCGUCCGUUUGACCCCAAAGUUACACCACUGAACCACCUAGCUACCCUCGUCCCAAAUCCCACCCCAGUUCUGUCCGAAUCUUGUUAAAGCCUUUCGAAUUUCAAAUCGAAGGAAAACCCUAAAAGAACCAAACUUCAGACUGUGUACGAAGUUAAAAAUUUGAGGUUUUAACCGACUUUAGUCGAGUGUUCUCAGUCGAGAACACUCGAUUAAGGUCCGUUUUGGCUUCAAAAUUUCAAGACGAAGUGUCGACUGAAACGGAUUGAGUUUGGUAUGAAAUUUCGAGGUACACAAUUUGAACUCACCUUGAUGUAACUGCAGAUUUGAAUGAAAUGAAACCAUAUUUCAAGAGUUAUGCUCGUUUGGAAUGCAUAUGGCUGUAUUUGAUCAUCUGUUGAGUAGUAUACAUAUUUAAUUCAUCUAAUUUGUAUUAUAUUAAGGACUGUAUAAUUAGAGCCAUUUCUGAAUUGUUUAGACCAGCUGAUUCAUACUGGACUGUAUUUGGACUGUGAGUAUUUGGUUUUCUCA